rnacentral:misc_RNA from 1 species
GUACUAGGCUGCAUUAGUAUAUGUGCAAAAUUGUUAUAACUGAAUCAACUGGUGAUUAUAGGGAUGGUGCACAGAUUGAUGGACAUCAUACCAACCAAUGAAGAGUCAACUCAUUUCCAUUGUUAUGUGGGUCUCAUUUGCUGUUUAAACUCGCAGAUGCUUAACUUUAAGAAAAAUGUCCUGCUCGAGAUGAAGAUUAAACUGCUAGUUCUAAACAAAAUAUCGAAAGUACUAAACUGCUUUAUUAUAUAUGCAAAAUUGUUUUCUGUAUCAAUUGGAGAUUAUGGGUAUGAGUCACGCACAGAUUGAUGGAUGUGAUAAUAUCUUUUAUCAAGGGAUUGUAAACAUGUUACUGAUUAUCUUAACUUAAAGAAAAAUACCGGCGUUU